AGCAGCCGCGGUAAUUCCAGCUCCAAUAGCGUAUAUUAAAGUUGUUGCAGUUAAAAAGCUCGUAGUUGAAUUUCGGGAUCAAUAUGUCGGUCGUGCCUUCGGUACGUACUGGUAUCAUUGGUCUCUCCUUUCUGACGAACCAUGAUGUCAUUAAUUUGGUGUUAUGGGGAGUUAGGACUGUUACUUUGAAAAAAUUAGAGUGUUUAAAGCAGGCUUUAGCUUGAAUACAUUAGCAUGGAAUAAUGAAAUAGGACGUUCGAACCUAUUUUGUUGGUUUCUAGGAUCAACGUAAUGAUUAAUAGGGAUAGUUGGGGGCAUUAGUAUUCAAUUGUCAGAGGUGAAAUUCUUGUAUUUAUUGAAGACUAACUACUGCGAAAGCAUUUGCCAAGGAUGUUUUCAUUAAUCAAGAACGAAAGUUAGGGGAUCGAAGACGACCAGAUACCGUCGUAGUCUUAACCAUAAACUAUGCCGACUAGGGAUCGGAUGAUGUUAAUUUUUUAAUGACUCA
rnacentral:rRNA from 1 species